rnacentral:siRNA from 1 species
GAAUGAUCCGGUGAAGUG